AGGAAACGUGAGCUUUUAUUUACUUAAAAAAUAGAGAGAGACACAUAGAAAUAUGCACCAGGCUACGCUCCAGGAGUCUGCGCUCCUGCGCGCGCCUCGAUUUCAUCUGUGCGCCGUCGAUGGUCCCCGAGACAGUCAGUCCUGCUCCGAAACUCUGUUCAGACCCUCUUCCUUCGUUUUGCAGACGUCGUGUCUGAAUAAUGUGGCUGCUGAGAAACCGCAGCCUCUGAGUGUGAGAAGUGAGGAUCCAGAGAGAAGCUGAGCGCACACUGACUGACUGCAGCAGCAAUGGGAAGUCAGACGACCAAAAUCACAUACUAUGGCACAUUACCCGGGGAACCCCAGCGAGACAAAAACAGUUCCAAGCGCUGCAUCCACCCAUUAGAAAAUGUGUCCGGCCCUCUACAAUUCCACCCACGAACCAAGGGAUCGCAGAUCCUCAUGGACUUGUCUCAGAGGACCGUCAAGAGACAGUCUAGCUUCUGCAACGGAAUCACCUUCAGCAACAGGCCUAUUGCUGUGUAUGAGCAGGUUCGACUCAAGGUAGGAGUCAAUUUUGAGA